AUUGAACGCUGGCGGCAGGCCUAACACAUGCAAGUCGAACGAGGGGCGGACGGGUGAGUAAUGUCUGGGAAACUGCCUGAUGGAGGGGGAUAACUACUGGAAAUGGUAGCUAAUACCGCAUACCAUCGGAUGUUCCCAGAUUGGAUUAGCUAGUAGGGGGGGUAAAGGCUCACCUAGGCGACGAUCCCUAGAUGGUCUGAGCGGAUGACCGGCCACCUGGGAACUGGGACACGGUCAAGACUCCUACGGUACGGAGCAGUGGCGAAUAUUGGGCAUCGGGGGCAAUCCUGAUGCAGCCGUGGCGCGUGUGUGUAGAGGGCCUUCGGUUUGUGAAGUACGUUCAGCGGUUAGGCGUUACCCGCAGAAGAAGCACCGGCUAACUCCGUGCCAGCCGCCGCGGUAAUUC
rnacentral:rRNA from 1 species